GUGGUAUUGCCGGGUAGCUAUGAAUGGAAGGGAUAACCGCUGAAAGCAUCUAAGCGGGAAGCCUCACCCAAGAUAAGAUCUCCCUAGACUUUUAAAGUCUCUAAAGGUCCGUCGAAGACUACGACGUUGAUAGGCAGGGUGUGGAAGCACAGCAAUGUGUGAAGCUAACCUGUACUAAUUAACCGUGAGGCUUGAUCAUAUAACACCCAA
rnacentral:rRNA from 1 species